rfam:Picea glauca, whole genome shotgun sequence.
ACAUGCCUACAACAUAGUGUUGAUGCACUGGAUCCCAUUAGAGCUUGAUAGUUAAGCACGCUCAAGCUAGAGUAGUACUAGGAUGGGUAAUUUCCCAAGAAGUCCUAGUAUUUUACAUGCC